rnacentral:lncRNA from 1 species
UUGUAUUAUCAUAAAUGAUUACUAUUGUGGCUUACAUGUCUAUUUAUACUACAUGAAUGAACUACUACAACAAGUAAAGGAGAAAUCUUCAACUAACAAGAAUCUAACCGAAUAACUGCCUACUAACUAACAGUGAACAAUAAUACUAAUUCUAGGACUGUGAACAUAGUAACUGAAGUUCAAAUCCCAUUAUCAGCUGCUUCACUCUUCUCGAUUGAUCAGCUUAUCAGCUUUUUCCAGCUUCUUCUUUAUCAGCAAACAAUUUGAAGAAUGGUCCCUUCAGCCACUUUCCCAUCAAAAUGAUAGAAGUUAUGGAUUGGUUUUUGCUCUCCUAAUUUAACCUUUAGAAUAUCCUGCAAAGGAAAAAGAGGCCCAGAAAAUGCAAGAUACAUAAACUGAUUUCAGGAUGCUCACAUUUUCAGACUAAUAUACAAAGUUUGUGCAUACUCUUAUAGUGUUCAUUAUAUGAGAUGGCAGCAUGCUAUAGUUUUCUAGUGCACUUUUAGCAAUUAAUAAGUCUCAUAGUUACCAAAAAAUUAAAAAUACACAUUAGCAGAUUAAUAAGAUGCCCCAAGUAAUACUUAUUGACUUGCUUCUCAUUGAAAGACGUAGCAAAUGGAGGAUUCCAAUGUAUUGUUCAUGAAACAGGUAAACUAUGAUCUUUUGCAAGUGUCGUUCAAUGGCAAUAACCAUGUGGCUAUUACAUUAUAUUACAACAAACAUUUGGCAAAUACAAUAGUACAUAUGUAAUGGCACUCCAAACCCCCCCGCCCCUCCCCCCCUCCAAAAAGGAGUGAAGACAGUACUGGUCAUCAUGUGUAAAGCUAUGAUAAG